GUAGAGAGAAGGUGCUAGAACUGUGUAC
rnacentral:piRNA from 1 species